rnacentral:lncRNA from 1 species
CACUGACCUCCUCUAAUGAGAAUCAACAUGAGAAAAUCUCACAUAUGAAAAUGCAGACUAAUAACAAUAACAAACAUAAAUAAGCACCACCAGUUUGCCAGGCAGCAUGCUAUGCAAUGUUCAUGCCUUCUCUCAUUUAGUUCUCUCAAAUACCCAUGCGGUACAUAUGAUUAUUGCCUCAAACCACCUAUUUAGUCAACAAGUUGAGCACCUACAAUGUGUCCAAAAUCAUUCAGAGCCAGACAUUUGAUACUAAGUAGAACAGCAGGACACGUGUCCCCAUGCUGGUGGUGGGGAUGGGGACAGAAAAGGGCAUUGAGGCUUAGUGAGAUCAAGUCAACUUCCAAGGUCAUAUAGUGAGAAUUUUAACCCAGGGCUGCAGGUGGGGCACAGGAGUCCUUGUCCCCACCUUGGUCUCAUCCUGGAGCCCCCUAGGGAGCCUUACGAAGUGCACAUGCCCCUGUUAGAACUCUCGGCCAUGGGUAGGGUUGUUUUGGUUUUUGUUAAUAAGUAACGUCAAACUGAUGGUGAAACCUUCUCCAGGCAACAACUUCUGACCCCUGUGGAUAGCUUUGGCUUCGUGCACCGGGGAGACAAGAAACUGCCCACGGCCUCCAGUCCUCAGUGGCCCCCACCCAACAGCCUCCUCUUCAUCCACGCAAUGGGGCUUCAGGUCAGACGAGUCGGACUCCUUUGGUCCCUACAGGGGUAAUUCUAAGGACAGUAGGUUCUGGAAACCUUUUUCCUGCUGCGUUCUAAGGAAUGAGGGAUUUUCGCCCCUGUGGCCUCUGUUCCACUCAGCAGCGCCCUUCUGUGAGCCAGAUGUGAAAGUAUCACACAGGCACAGGAGAUCGGGGUUCUGAUCACAGGCCGCGUGGCAAACUUCCUGCCUGACCCUAGCAAGAAGAUUGGAUUCAGUUGUUUCCAAGGAUGAGCUGUGAUUUAACCCCAGACUUGCAGAGAUGAAUGAAUGAUCUGCCACCUCUUGCUGAUUAAAGGCUUUAACUUCUCCAUCCAGUGGAAGCAGUUUCCUCCAUGAGAACUAAGAAAGGUCACACAUGGGGGUGAGCUUUUUUGAACAUUGGGGCUGCCUCCUCUGGUUCUUGGGGAGAUUCUGCUUCCUGCAGCAUCAACUUAGAGAUAGCUUUGCUUUCAUGCCACAGAUCCUCUCCUUGGGUACCAAGCAGAGAUAGAGUUCCACAUCAGGAGAUCCCGUUACAUGCUU